GCUCCAGUGGUGCAAUCGGUCAGCGCGCGGUACUUAUAAUGCCGAGGUUGUGAGUUCAAGCCUCACCUGGAGCA
rnacentral:tRNA from 1 species